GACGAACGCUGGCGGCGUGCUUAACACAUGCAAGUCGAGCGGAAAGGCCCUUCGGGGUACUCGAGCGGCGAACGGGUGAGUAACACGUGAGUAACCUGCCCCAGACUUUGGGAUAACCCUCGGAAACGGGGGCUAAUACCGGAUACGACACAGCUUCGCAUGGGGUCUGUGUGGAAAGUUUUUCGGUUUGGGAUGGGCUCGCGGCCUAUCAGCUUGUUGGUGGGGUGAUGGCCUACCAAGGCGACGACGGGUAGCCGGCCUGAGAGGGCGACCGGCCACACUGGGACUGAGACACGGCCCAGACUCCUACGGGAGGCAGCAGUGGGGAAGAUUGCACAAUGGGCGGAAGCCUAAUGCAGCGACGCCGCGUGAGGGAUGGCGACCUUCGGGUUGUAAACCUCUUUCAGCAGGGACGAAGCGUAAGUGACGGUACCUGCAGAAGAAGCGCCGGCCAACUACGUG
rnacentral:rRNA from 1 species